rnacentral:rRNA from 1 species
UGGGGAAUCUUGCGCAAUGCGCGAAAGCGUGACGCAGCAACGCCGCGUGGGGGAAGAAGGCCUUCGGGUUGUAAACCCCUUUCAGUUGGGACGAAGCUUCACCGGUUAACAGCCGGUUGGAGUGACGGUACCUUCAGAAGAAGCCCCGGCUAACUACGUGCCAGCAGCCGCGGUAAUACGUAGGGGGCAAGCGUUGUCCGGAAUCAUUGGGCGUAAAGAGCGUGUAGGCGGCUUGGUAAGUCCGCUGUGAAAGUCCAGGGCUCAACCCUGGAAUGCCAGUGGAAACUGUCAAGCUAGAGUCCGGAAGAGGCGAGUGGAAUUCCUGGUGUAGCGGUGAAAUGCGCAGAUAUCAGGAGGAACACCAAUGGCGAAGGCAGCUCGCUGGGACGGUACUGACGCUGAGACGCGAAAGCGUGGGGAGCAAACAGGAUUAGAUACCCGGGUAGUCC